CUAAACACAUUCAGAACAAUGAGGGACAACUUCCAUUUUUAGAGGAGGAUUGGCCCCUCCCACAGCGAGACAAAUUACGAGACAGACGAAAAUGGGGGUACAAGAGAGAAAGAAGACCGAAUCAGUACCAAUAGGUGAUAACUCUAAUCAAAUCAUAAAUCUAUCCAAAUUUAAUCUGCAAGAACAUCACAUAUCACUUCUCAAAA